rnacentral:tRNA from 1 species
UAGGCUAUAGUUUAAAUAAAAUUUUUGAUUUGCAUUCAAAAGAUAUCUUAUGAAGAUUAGCUUAA